rnacentral:rRNA from 1 species
GUUUAUCAAAAACAUCGUUUCCCGAAAACCAAGCAUGGGAAAUAAUGCCUGCCCAGUGAAUACCAAAAGAUUUUAACGGCCGCGUUAGCGUGAGCGUGCUAAGGUAGCGUAAUAAUUAGCCUUUUAAUUGGAGGCCAGUGAAUGGCAACACGGAAAACCCCUGUAUCACGUAUAUUAAUAAAAUUUUAUUUUUGGGUGAAAAAGCCCAAAUAAUAGAGGAAGACAAAAAGACCCCGCGGAGCUUUACUUUGUCAAGCCAAACAAAUCUGCCAGAUUAGUUAUGCUAAUAAGUUUGGUUGGGGCAACCCUGGAACCGCUAAAGCUUCCAGUUAAUCAUAGAACUUCAUCAAAAACAUCUUCGGACUAAAAAGAAGUUACCCCGGGGAUAACAGCGUAAUCCAACUUAAGAGUACGCAUCGAAAGUUGGGUUUGCGACCUCGAUGUUGGCUUAAGGUAAUUCACAUGAGCGCAGCCGCUAUGAGAGAAUAGUCUGUUCGACUAUUAUACCCUUACGUGAUCUGAGUUCA